AUCCACCUGACGAGUCCCAAAUAGGACGAAACGCGUGUCCUGGAU
rnacentral:hammerhead_ribozyme from 1 species